rnacentral:misc_RNA from 1 species
GUCCGUGUCAAAGGAAAAGGGGGUAUCACUCCUUUGCAUUACGCAACUCAACAAGGAAACUUGCUUAUUUUGAGAGAAUGUUAUAAAGGUUGCCCCGACUCUAUCAAAGAUGUUACCUUUCACGGCGAUACUGCUUUACACAUUGCAGUAAGGAACCACCAAAAUGAUGCUUUCGAAUUAUUGAUGGAAUGGCUUAAGAAGUCCUCAUUCAAAGAUGCCGAUUUUUGGGAAAGAGAGCUCCUUAACUGGAAAAACGAGGAAGGUAGAACCGUUCUGCACAUUGCUGCUUUGGAGACUGGAUGGAAUGGACAACUCCAGGUAUUAGAAAUGUUGCUGCGAUGUCCCUAUGCUAGAACUGAUAUACAAGAUCUUGCUGGUCAGACAGCUAGGCAAAUCCUGAGAGACCAGGUUGGAUUAACGGAAAAACAAAUU